rnacentral:misc_RNA from 1 species
UCAAACUUGGUCAUUUAGAGGAAGUAAAAGUCGUAACAAGGUUUCCGUAGGUGAACCUGCGGAAGGAUCAUUACUGAGGUUAUGCGGCUUGCCCUGCGAGGCAGCCGGUCACCCCGUCCUUAUGUCAUAUGCGACGGAGCCGUGCGUGCGUGCGGCUCCGAGAGAUUUACUUCGGCGGAGGUGUUGUGAGGCUCCUGGUGACGGGGGCCUCAUGACCGCCGCCGGCUUUAUAAUCAAAGCCUGUGUAUCACUGUGAAAUGUCUGAAGAAAUACGAAACGAAGAAAAAACUUUCAACAACGGAUCUCUUGGCUCUGGCAUCGAGGAAGAACGCAGC